CAUAUACUCCCUCCGCCCCAAAAUUCUUGUCCUAGAUUUGUCUAAAUACAGAUGUUUCAAGUCACUUCUUAGUAUUAGAUACAUCCGUAUCAAGACAAAUCUAAGACAAGAAUUUUGAGACGGAGGGAGUAUAUU
rfam:Triticum aestivum genome assembly, contig: Triticum_aestivum_CS42_TGACv1_scaffold_579436_7BL